GCAUCUGUGCAUGCAGCAUAUCAAUAAGCGGAGGAAAAGAAACUAACAAGGAUUCCCUUAGUAACGGCGAGUGAAGCGGGAAGAGCUCAAAUUUGAAAUCUUCAAGGUUUUACCUUGACGAAUUGUAGUUUAAAGAAGUGUUUUCUGUUGAAGUUUUGGUAAAAGUUCUUUGGAAUAGGACAUCAUAGAGGGUGAGAAUCCCGUAUUUGACCAUUAUUUUCAGCUGUGUGAUACACUUUCAAAGAGUCGGAUUGUUUGGGAAUGCAGUCCAAAAUGGGUGGUAAAUUUCAUCUAAAGCUAAAUAUUGGCGAGAGACCGAUAGCGAACAAGUACCGUGAGGGAAAGAUGAAAAGAACUUUGAAAAGAGAGUUAAACAGUACGUGAAAUUGUCAAAAGGGAAGCGUUUGACACCAGUGUUGUUUUCUCGAAAAUCAAUUAAAAAGAGUUAGAUUUUAGUUGUGUAUUGACCUUAACAGCUUGCAUUUCAAUUUUCUUGCUUUUUUUAAUGCACUUUUCGUUUAACAAGUCAACAUCAGUUUCUUUUGUUGUAAAAGGGUCAUUGGAAGGUGGCUUUCUUUCGGAGAAAGUGUUUAUAGCCUUUGAUCUCCUGCAAUCGGAGAGACUGAGGUCUGCAGCGUAGAUCCUUCGGGGUUAGAUACAUUUGUGCUAAGUUAUAGCUUUUUAUAGACAACUUGUUGACUAUGAUUAGUCUUGUAGCUUACUCGCUUAUGCUAUUUUACCUACGCUUAGGAUGUUGACGCGCGUGUGUGCGUG
rnacentral:rRNA from 1 species